rnacentral:rRNA from 1 species
GACGUUACCUACAGAAGAAGCACCGGCUAAACUCCGUGCCAGCAGCCGCGGUAAUACGGAGGGUGCGAGCGUUAAUCGGAAUUACUGGGCGUAAAGCGCAUGCAGGCGGCUUGUUAAGUCAGAUGUGAAAGCCCGGGGCGUUAACCUCGGAAUUGCAUUUGAAACUGGCAGGCUAGAGUCUUGUAGAGGGGGGUAGGAAUUUCAGGUGUAGCGGUGAAAUGCGUAGAGAUCUGAAGGAAUACCAGUGGCGAAGGCGGCCCCCUCGGACAAAGACUGACGCUCAGACUGCGAAAGCGUGGGGAGCAAACAGGAUUAGAUACCCUGGUAG